UAGGGAAUCUUCCGCAAUGGACGCAAGUCUGACGGAGCAACGCCGCGUGAGUGAAGAAGGAUUUCGGUUCGUAAAACUCUGUUGUUAGAGAAGAACAGCGCAUAGAGUAACUGUUAUGCGUGUGACGGUAUCUAACCAGAAAGCCACGGCUAACUACGUGCCAGCAGCCGCGGUAAUACGUAGGUGGCAAGCGUUGUCCGGAUUUAUUGGGCGUAAAGCGAGCGCAGGCGGUCAAUUAAGUCUGAUGUGAAAGCCCCCGGCUCAACCGGGGAGGGUCAUUGGAAACUGGUUGACUUGAGUGCAGAAGAGGAGAGUGGAAUUCCAUGUGUAGGGGUGAAAUGCGUAGAUAUAUGGAGGAACACCAGUGGCGAAGGCGACUCUCUGGUCUGUAACUGACGCUGAGGCUCGAAAGCGUGGGUAGCAAACAGG
rnacentral:rRNA from 1 species